CAGUCGCCACGGUAAUACGUAGGGUGCAAGCGUUAAUCGGAAUUACUGGGCGUAAAGCGUGCGCAGGCGGUUAUAUAAGUCAGAUGUGAAAUCCCCGGGCUCAACCUGGGAACUGCAUUUGAGACUGUAUGGCUAGAGUGUGUCAGAGGGGGGUAGAAUUCCACGUGUAGCAGUGAAAUGCGUAGAUAUGUGGAGGAGUACCGAUGGCGAAGGCAGCCCCCUGGGAUAACACUGACGCUCAUGCACGAAAGCGUGGGGAGCAAACAGGAUUAGAUACCCCAGUAGUCCCUGUCUCUUAUAC
rnacentral:rRNA from 1 species